GAGCAACAUUAUGGUUGCUUUGAAUCUGUAGUGUAUCUUGCUCCAAACAGGGUGCAAUCCUCUUCUGACUUUCCUCCUCUGCUACAGGUUAUUUAUAAACUAUGUAUUUGGCACGGGGGAUAUAUCACUUAUGCUUGCACAGGCUGGUUUGAUUGUUUUGAGUCUAAAUUGUGGAUUUAACUCAUGUUGAUAGGCUACAAAUCUCUCAUCUGUUCAUCUUUUAUUGUGAUUUAACUCAAGGUGAAUGUUGAUAAAUAGAGAAUGAUAACUCAGAUCAGUGAUUCUUUGAAUUUUUUUGCCCGUCAGGUUCUCUCUAUCAUGCUGCACAUCAGUAACCUCACCUUUCUCAUCGACUCAAACUCCCUAACCUGUGCGUUUCUAGAUUUGAAAGAUUUAAUCUUGAUUGACCAAGUUUUCUGCAAUGUUUCAGGUUUGCUUCUCUUCUUUUGGUUUUCUCGGUUUUUCUUCUGGUUGUUGUAUCGCGAUUCUACCAGCCCACCACCCUACCUGCACUGAUUUCGGCAUCAAGCGAUUUGAACGCGAAGAUGGAGGCCAUGAUGACCAUUUUGGAAGAUGGAACCCAAGAUCAUGUGCAUUACAAAUGAAAAUAAGAUCUCAUAGAGAUGCUUGAAGAAUUUGGCCAAUCUUACCGUCUUUUAUUCAUAUCAUAUAAUCAAAGUUUAAAACAUCCAGCAAUGUGGUGUUAAUUGGAGCCAAGAAAGCUGUAUCCAACAAGUAAUAAAGCUAUGUCAAAGUGGUUCUUUUUCAAGUAUGUUUUAAUUUACAAUAUUAUUUUGGUCAUUGCUGCCUGAUCUGUCUGUGAUUUAUAUUGUCAUUCGAGUCCCCCUUUGUUGGAUUUGUCACUAUG